ACCACAGCUCCUUCUCCGACCUGACCCGGGGCCCCGACCUCAGCUCAGAGCCUGGAGCUCGUUCUCCGUCCUGACCUCGAGCUCAUUCUCCGACCUGAGCCACCUCGAGCUUUUUCUCCGACCACCACCAGCGUUACCCAAACGAAGAAGUCCAUCAUUGCUCCUCCUCCCAAAAGCCAGUGUGAGUCAAUUUGCCUCAUUCCUAUUUGAAUUUUGAAUUUGGAUUUGUUUUAUAUUUAUUGUUGCUUCAAUCCAGUUUUCUACUUUUCAAUUUUUUCAUUUGGAAUGUAGAAUUUUAAUUCAACCAAGUAGACACUGUAACAAUGGCAGAAAGAGUAAUGGUGUUUUUCUAUCUUCUCUUUUGGUUUAUUGGCAAUUAUUAUGCUUUUGAGAUGUAGGACAGAAAGUACUUCUUUGUUCAGUUGUUAAAGCUGGUUAGCUCGAAACGUGGAUAGUAUUUCUCUAUUCAUGCUUCUUCUUCUUUUUUGGCAAGAGUAGUAUAAUUUGAUAGGUCUGUGAACCGGGACAAGUUUUGCUAAUCAAGUAUUUUGGAAAUGUAACAGGUGCUUUUCAAAGUUUCUUGGUUAUCAUUUUGAAAGUUUUGUUUUGUUGUUGUCUACUAAGCCCUUUGUUUCAUUCUGUUAUCACCAAGGAGAAUGGGAUAUCAUCGCAGAGGAGAGGUAAUUUUUCAAACAAUCUAUGUCGUUUCUCAAGUUUUGUUGCCACGUACCGAGCUCCUGAUCAGGAAGUUGCCAUAUUCCAGAGGCUUGUUUGUGAAAUCGCUCAGGACUUCAACUUGACACUGAUGCCAUAUUUUUAGCAGCUUUCUUGUUCUGAUGCAGUGGCUUAGGAUGUGUCAAGUACUUAUAGAAGUGAACCAAUCAUAGAAGAACCAGCGACGUCAGAGCAAGAAUUCACUAACCUAUCACAAAGUGACAUUGAAGACUUGUUCAAUGAGGAAUAUGAGGAGGAUCCUGAUGAGAUUCCUACCAUCAAUGUCAGCAUGGAACAGUUCACAGACACAUUAUAAAACUAUAUGCAAAAGAACAUGGAUCUCCAAGAAGGUAACAUGUCCAAGGCUUUAGUUGCGUUGAAUCCAGAAGCUGUUUCUCUGCCUAUUCCCAAGCUCAAGAAUGUCAGUCGACUACGAACAGAGCACCAAGUGAUAUACGUUUUUCUGUGGAUUGUCAAAAUGUAAAAGACAACUUCAGAAUUCCAGAAGCUUUCCCUCAGCAGAAGAUGAUGUCUAUUCCAUUGAUGACCAACACCUGAUUUCACCUGAAGUGUAGUUGACUAUUCCAUUGAAGUAAGGGAUGUUGAUUGGACUUUGGGUUUGGUAUAAGCACAAGGCUGAGAAAGAAAAAAGAACAAAGAAAACAAUUAAUCACAAGAAAAUAUGAGGAAAUCUGUGCACCCCUGGUUGAAGAAUUUUGUUACAUUACUUAUAGGGUCCCUUAUUGAUAACACAUGUUUUAAGGAAAGAGUGGGCAGUAAAGGCGCGCAAAUCAUAUAGCCAAAAUGAUAUUGACGAGGUGUGCAUUGAAGUGGCUGAUUAUAUAUAGAGUUUGGUGUAAGACUUUUGGCUUCCAUGAUUUUGAGUAAGGCUAGUUUUUGCUUGAAGCAAAGUUUGGUGUAGAACGUACUUUUGUAGUUGGUUGCUAAUAUGUUUCUAGGCUAGCCUUUGUAGGUUUUGGGUUUUAUUUUGUGAAUUAUGUUGAAUCAUGAAUUUGGAAAGAAAAUUAAUGGAAAGCCCCAA